rnacentral:rRNA from 1 species
AGUUUGAUCAUGGCUCAGAUUGAACGCUGGCGGCAUGCCUUACACAUGCAAGUCGAACGGCAGCACGGGAGCUUGCUCCUGGUGGCGAGUGGCGAACGGGUGAGUAAUACAUCGGAACGUACCCUGAAGUGGGGGAUAACGUAGCGAAAGUUACGCUAAUACCGCAUAUUCUGUGAGCAGGAAAGAGGGGGAUCGCAAGACCUCUUGCUUUAGGAGCGGCCGAUGUCGGAUUAGCUAGUUGGUGAGGUAAAGGCUCACCAAGGCGACGAUCCGUAGCGGGUCUGAGAGGAUGAUCCGCCACACUGGGACUGAGACACGGCCCAGACUCCUACGGGAGGCAGCAGUGGGGAAUUUUGGACAAUGGGCGGAAGCCUGAUCCAGCCAUGCCGCGUGAGUGAAGAAGGCCUUCGGGUUGUAAAGCUCUUUCGGCCGGGAAGAAAUCGCAUGGGUUAAUACCCUGUGUGGAUGACGGUACCGGCAUAAGAAGCACCGGCUAACUACGUG